GAUGAACGCUAGCGGCAGGCUUAAUACAUGCAAGUCGAGGGGCAGCAGGCUGUAGCAAUACAGUGCUGGCGACCGGCAAACGGGUGCGGAACACGUACAGAACCUUCCUUUAAGCGGGGAAUAGCCCAGAGAAAUUUGGAUUAAUACCCCAUAGUAUAGUGGUUAGGCAUCUAACUAUUAUUAAAGAUUUAUCACUUAAAGAUGGCUGUGCGGCUGAUUAGGUAGUUGGCGGGGUAACGGCCCACCAAGCCAACGAUCAGUAACUGGUGUGAGAGCACGACCAGUCACACGGGCACUGAGACACGGGCCCGACUCCUACGGGAGGCUG
rnacentral:rRNA from 1 species